rnacentral:lncRNA from 1 species
AUGGUACUUCCCCCUGCUCUCAGUACAGAAUAUCCAUACAUGGGGAAAAAGUGGUGUACAAAUAUGGAUUUUGAUGUCAUUAUGCAAAGAUACUACUGCUUUUCUGAAGGUCACUUCUUCUGCUACGACAUCAAUGGGAAAUUGCUACUUGAGAUACUAAAUGCCCACCAGACUGCUAUUCUCUCAUGUAUCUACUCAUCUGAUGUUAAAAUUUUACUUACUUCCUCUAGAGGCAGUGAAAUAAAAUCUUGGAAUGAUCAAGGCUGCUUGUUGCAUAUAUUUCAAGGACAUUCUAAAACUGUCACAAAGCUUCUACUGCAUCCAAAUACAGCUUCAUUAUUUAUCUCUGGGUCACUAGAUGGAUCAAUCAAACUCUGGUCAUUUGAUACAAUGGACAUUUUUUAUAGGUAUUAUAGUUCAUUUCAUAAAUACAGUACAUAUGUUUGGAUACAAAGGUGCUCUUUUAAUGUGAAAGGGUACCACUGAAUCAAGCUUGUGCAAGCUAUGAAUAUAAUUUUCUAUAGGUGUAGUCUUGUGUGUACCUACCUUGGAGUAAAUUUCACUGUAAAAAAAAAAGUCCAAGGCAUAUAUGAUUGUGCUGCAAAUUGCUUUUCAAACUAGUUUCUCAGAAGUCAUACUGAUUUGUAGCAGCUGUCUCUUCACUUUGUUCUAUAAGAUAUGUAAUUGUCAUGGCACCCAAAUGGAUUUCAUAUGGCACCAAAAUAAACUGGAACAUAGUUUGCUUUAUCUAAUCA